AGCUCUGAGGUGUAGGCACGUCGGAUUGCAAAUCCGAAGGAGCAGGCUAGUCGUCUGCCGGGGCUU
rnacentral:tRNA from 1 species